UCCAGAGAAAACUGCAAAUGCUGUGGGUCUUGUGACAGAAGACGAACCCAGGCUGAGGAAACCUGCAUCUUUUGUAAUGGGCGGAAAUGCUGUUUGACAGACUUCUGGGACUGUAGUAGCCAUGGGCGUCUUAGAGAAAAAAGGAGCGAGGUAAUGGUCGAUGAUGAAGGAUCCAUUUCCUGACAAUCUGGUAGACUGCAGCUGGAGCCAGUUCUAUUUUCAUUUCAGAACUAAUGUUUAUCAAUCUGGUACAUGUGAAAUGACAGCUAGCAAGCAGAUAGGACCUCAUUCCUACAGAAUUCUGCUACAACCAUGUGAUCUUGGAAGAGGACUCAGCUUCAGCAUGAAAUGCAGCCUGGCUGUCACCAUGACUGUUCCGUGUGAGACUUGUGAGCAGGGGUCCCAUAGAGGUCUGUCUGCAUCCUGACCCACAGAAACUGAGAUGAAUGCAUGAUGUUUUAAGCCACUAAGUUAAAUUGUGUUAAAUUGUCACACAGCAA